rnacentral:rRNA from 1 species
UGCAGUCGNNCGGUAACAUUUCUAGCUUGCUAGAAGANGACGAGUGGCGGACGGGUGAGUAAUGCUUGGGAACUUGCCUUUGCGAGGGGGAUAACAGUUGGAAACGACUGCUAAUACCGCAUAAUGUCUUCGGACCAAACGGGGCUUCGGCUCCGGCGCAAAGAGAGGCCCAAGUGAGAUUAGCUAGUUGGUAAGGUAACGGCUUACCAAGGCGACGAUCUCUAGCUGUUCUGAGAGGAAGAUCAGCCACACUGGGACUGAGACACGGCCCAGACUCCUACGGGAGGCAGCAGUGGGGAAUAUUGCACAAUGGGGGAAGCCCUGAUGCAGCCAUGCCGCGUGUGUGAAGAAGGCCUUCGGGUUGUAAAGCACUUUCAGUUGUGAGGAAAAGUUAGUGGUUAAUACCUGCUAGCCGUGACGUUAACAACAGAAGAAGCACCGGCUAACUCCGUGCCAGCAGCCGCGGUAAUACGGAGGGUGCGAGCGUUAAUCGGAAUUACUGGGCGUAAAGCGCACGCAGGCGGUUUGUUAAGCUAGAUGUGAAAGCCCCGGGCUCAACCUGGGAUGGUCAUUUAGAACUGGCAGACUAGAGUCUUGGAGAGGGGAGUGGAAUUCCAGGUGUAGCGGUGAAAUGCGUAGAUAUCUGGAGGAACAUCAGUGGCGAANGCGACUCCCUGGCCAAAGACUGACGCUCAUGUGCGAAAGUGUGGGUAGCGAACAGGANUAGAUACCCUGGUAGUCCACACCGUAAACGCUGUCUACUAGCUGUGUGUGUCUUUNANNNGUGCGUANCGAANCUAACGCGCUAA